AAAGAAUGGCCGAAUAUCAGCUGAUGCCUUCAGUAAAAGUUUCUUGGAGUGGAGUGCUGUAAAGUUUGAGGUGGACAGGAUGUGCAAGGAGCCAUGCUUUAGCUGCCCUGCCUGCACUCCACACAUGCUUGCCGUCUCAGUUGAUGGAAACCGCAAGCUUUAUCGCUUUCAGUCUAAUGCAAGCACUUCAGAGCAGGGGAACUUUGAAGGUGUCUUCAUUGAAAAAGAUGAGGAAGUUGCUGAGUUUGUGAAAUACAUCCAGAGACACACAAAUCAUGUCCCGGGGAAAGGGUUGUGCGGAUCUUCAUCUUGGACUGCAGCAAAGGAGUCGUCCAAAAAGUCCACUGGGAAGUUGGAUGAGGAGGGCAUGGAAAUAGCUGUUUGUCGCCACGGAGUCCUCUUAGCUGCAUUGAACAUGUUUCGAGGGGAGAUCUUUGCUUACCCCCUUUUUCUCCAGAGGAAGUUGGCAGCUAGCGUCCCAGGACAUAUUACGUUCCUUUGCUCCGAUGUGGCCUGUAAAUAUUUCCCCUAUUUAACCAAGGUGGCUCAGCAGUGCCCUGAGCUGAGGAACCUCUUGUCAAUGCUUCCUCUUCUCUCCGUCAUGCAUGCAAAGCUCACACUUGGAAAUGCGAGAUCAAAUGGGGAGGUGCGUUUCAGGAUGGGGCCGGUUCAACAGUUGGAGAAGAGGUGGAACAAGUAAACAGUUUCCUGUCUAGGGCGGCCAUCACAACGAAGUACAUGUCUAAAGCAGGGCGAACAGACAUGCUGACCCUCCUGGCUUUGGGGUGGAACAAAAGGAAAGUGGAACAACUGGGCCGCACUUUGAGCCAGUGAUAUCUAAAGAUCAUAAGGAUCCUUAGAGAACAAGUGGAGCCUGAAUGCGAGCAGAAAUGAGCUGGGUGUGGAUGACGACACACUGCAGCAAUGGGCUGAAGAAAGUGAUCAAACUGAUGGCAGCCUUGGAGCGUUGCAGGCACGAAUAGAGGAGCUUGUCGUCAUCAUCAGAGUGCGAACACAAAGUCUUUACAGACAAAAUGAUAGCAACAAGAGGCGACACAGAAUUCGCAAGGUCAUCUUAGUUGAGAAGAAACGCUUGGCGGCUGCUGUUGACGACUACAACAAGCUCGCUGAACCAACAAAGCAAAUCGUAUCCAGUGAUGCCCUCAUGCAGAGCGACGUUUGGCCCUGGCAGAGCACAAGUGAAC
ensembl:lncRNA